rnacentral:rRNA from 1 species
UGGGGAAUAUUGCACAAUGGGCGCAAGCCUGAUGCAGCCAUGCCGCGUGUAUGAAGAAGGCCUUCGGGUUGUAAAGUACUUUCAGCGGGGAGGAAGGGAGUAAAGUUAAUACCUUUACUCAUUGACGUUACCCGCAGAAGAAGCACCGGCUAACUCCGUGCCAGCAGCCGCGGUAAUACGGAGGGUGCAAGCGUUAAUCGGAAUUACUGGGCGUAAAGCGCACGCAGGCGGUUUGUUAAGUCAGAUGUGAAAUCCCCGGGCUCAACCUGGGAACUGCAUCUGAUACUGGCAAGCUGGAGUCUCGUAGAGGGGGGUAGAAUUCCAGGUGUAGCGGUGAAAUGCGUAGAGAUCUGGAGGAAUACCGGUGGCGAAGGCGGCCCCCUGGAUGAAGACUGACGCUCAGGUGCGAAAGCGUGGGGAGCAAACAGG